AUAAAGACUUGGACAGGACAGCAUCAAACCCAAAUGCACCAUAUAUCACCUCAUGAACAUGCAGCUCCGGACACACUACUGGACUUUUAACUGUUUGGAAAGACUCGGAGACAAAGAUACGCUGGUGUGAGAGGGAAGGAGCAGAGAAAAGAGAGUAGCUGGGGAAUCAGAAGCAUAAAUGGGUAUGAAUCUGGAAAGAGGAUCAACUUUAGAAACUUGAGGUCGUCCAUCCACCAGUUUGUAUUAACAACCUCUCCAUCUGCAUCUACAGUAAAUGCUGUCCUCCAGAGCUGUGGAGUGUGACAAUGGUGUUUGUGUCCUGUGUAUCAAACGCCAUUAUCACACUAAAUAGCUACAGUGUGAAAAGGACCUCGAUAUAUUCCUCAACUUCCUCGUUUGCCUGGUUGUUUAUUUUUCUUUUUGUAAUUUGUUUGUUUUGUGUCUUCUGUAUAGUCUUUAUUUCCUUUUUACGGAUUUGUAAUAGUUACCUCAUUCAUACUGUAAAGCCCCAAAACACGUCCCCGUCUGUUGUGCCUAUAGCUUGGGACACAUUACACCAUGCAGCAGGGGCAGAGAUGAAAAUAAAUAUACGUUAUGUGUUCAUACGUGA